rnacentral:rRNA from 1 species
GAGCUAGAGAUCGGGAGAUGCAGUGAGUAUGAACAGGGAAGCGGUAAAAUGCGUUGAUCCUUUUCAGACUAACACCAGCGAAGGCACGCUGCAAGAACGAAUCUGACAGUGAGGGAUGAAGGCUAGGGGCGCAAAGUGGAUUAGAUACCCAUGUAGUCCUAGCAGUAAACACUGCACACUAAACAUUGGGGCCUCUUCGAGAGGUUUCAGUGCUGAAGCGAAGGCGGAGAGUGUGCUACCUGGGNNNNNUAGUCGCAAGACCGAAACUUAAAGGAAUAGGCGGGGGAGUACUACAACGAGUGACGCGUACGGUUCAAUUAGAUUCUACACCGUGAACCUCACCAGGAUCGACAGCAGGAUGAAGGUCAGUCUAAAGNNCUUNNNUGACACGCUGAGAGGAGAUGCAUGGCCGACGUCAGCCUGUGCCGUGAGGUGACCAGUUAAAUCUGGUAACAGGCGAGACCCACGUAUUUAUUUGACUAGCACAAUAAAUAGACUGCCUGGGUAACCAGGAGGAAGGUGUGGGCUACGUUAGGUGAGUACGUCCCAA